rnacentral:rRNA from 1 species
UACGUAGGGGGCGAGCGUUGUCCGGAAUCAUUGGGCGUAAAGAGCGUGUAGGCGGACUGGAAGGUCUGGUGUGAAAGCCCGGGGGCUCAACCCCCGGAGGGUCACUGGAAACCAACAGUCUUGAAUCUGGAAGAGGAGAGUGGAAUUCCUGGUGUAGCGGUGGAAUGCGCAGAUAUCAGGAGGAACACCAAUGGCGAAGGCAGCUCUCUGGUACAUGAUUGACGCUGAGACGCGAAAGCGUGGGGAGCGAACAGG